ACGGGGCCCGCACAAGCGGUGGAGCAUGUGGUUUAAUCGAUGCAACACGAAGAACCUUACCAGGGCUUGACAUGACAGACGUAGUGGACCCGAAAGGCGAACCACCCGUUAAAUCGGGAGCUGCCACAAAUGCUGCAUGGCUGUCGUCAGCUCGUGCCGUGAGGUGUUGGGUUAAGUCCCGCAACGAGCGCAACCCUCAUUGCCAGUUGAUUUCUCUGGCGAGACUGCCCCGCAAAACGGGGAGGAAGGUGGGGAUGAUGUCAAGUCAGCAUGGCCUUUAUAUCCUGGGCUACACACACGCUACAAUGGCCAACACAAUAGGUUGCUAAGCCGCGAGGUGGCGCCAAUCCAUAAAGUUGGUCUCAGUUCAGAUUGUAGGCUGCAACCCGCCUGCAUGAAGAUGGAGUUGCUAGUAACCGCAGGUCAGCUAUACUGCGGUGAAUACGUUCCCGGGGCUU
rnacentral:rRNA from 1 species